UCGGAUUUUACAUUAUUUAAGUUACACAGUUAAGGUAGACAAAGUUGAGUUGAGGUAGUAAAACAAAGUUACAAUAAAAAUUAGAAAUAUAUAAAAUAUAAAAUAUCCAUGGUCAACAAUGCGUAGAUGUGUAUGUGUAAUUUUGUGAGUGUGUAUGCCUGUGUAUUUGUAUGUAAGUGGGUGUGGGUAUGGAUAAGUGACUGUCUAGAUUAUUCAUAUGUG
rnacentral:misc_RNA from 1 species